AGUGAACGCUGGCGGUAGGCCUAACACAUGCAAGUCGAACGGCAGCACAGUAAGAGCUUGCUCUUACGGGUGGCGAGUGGCGGACGGGUGAGGAAUACAUCGGAAUCUACUUUUUCGUGGGGGAUAACGUAGGGAAACUUACGCUAAUACCGCAUACGACCUACGGGUGAAAGCAGGGGAUCUUCGGACCUUGCGCGAUUGAAUGAGCCGAUGUCGGAUUAGCUAGUUGGCGGGGUAAAGGCCCACCAAGGCGACGAUCCGUAGCUGGUCUGAGAGGAUGAUCAGCCACACUGGAACUGAGACACGGCACAGACUCCUACGGGAGGCAGCAGUGGGGAAUAUUGGACAAUGGGCGCAAGCCUGAUCCAGCCAUACCGCGUGGGUGAAGAAGGCCUUCGGGUUGUAAAGCCCUUUUGUUGGGAAAGAAAAGCAGCAGGUUAAUACCCCGCUGUUCUGACGGUACCCAAAGAAUAAGCACCGGCUAACUUCGUG
rnacentral:rRNA from 1 species